UACAGAGGGGGCAAGCGUUGUUCGGAAUUACUGGGCGUAAAGGGCGCGUAGGCGGCCUGUUAAGUCGAACGUGAAAUCCCCGGGCUCAACCCGGGAACUGCGUCCGAUACUGGCAGGCUUGAAUUCGGGAGAGGGAUGCAGAAUUCCAGGUGUAGCGGUGAAAUGCGUAGAUAUCUGGAGGAAUACCGGUGGCGAAGGCGGCAUCCUGGACCGACAUUGACGCUGAUGAGCGAAAGCGUGGGGAGCAAACAGG
rnacentral:rRNA from 1 species